UACGGAGGUGGCAGCGUUGCUCGGAAUCACUGGGGCGUAAAGGGCGCGUAGGGCGGGGGAGGUAAGUCGGGUGUGAAAUCCCUCGGCCCAACCGAGGAACUGCGCCCGAGACUGCUUCUCUUGAGUCCCGGAGAGGAAGAUGGAAUUCCCGGUGUAGCGGUGAAAAUGUGUAGAGAUCGGGGAGGAACACCGGUGGCGAAGGCGGUCUUCUGGACGGUGACUGACGCUGAGGCGCGAAAAGCGUUGGGGGAGCAAAACGGGGAUUAGAAAACCC
rnacentral:rRNA from 1 species